CUUAUCCUCGGCGCUCAGACCUCUGGAGAACGAUCUCUGAGCCGACCGAGCCUGCCGCUUCGUUCUUCCUCCGGGUGAUCCAAACCACUUUCCCUGACAUUUGGUUCCCUGACCAGGAAACCCAACCGCGCCGGCCCGUUGUUGCCACAGUUUAGGGGAAAACGGCGAGGCGGUGACGCAAGGAGGAAUCGCAAAGGAGAAGGUGCACCCUGCCUGAAUUUCGGCAGUCUCCAGCUUAGUGGCCCUGGCUGGGCCUGCUCCGCCGUUACCCUCAGAUGCGAGGAGACUUGGCAAAUGAGGACCCGGAACCCACGUCGGAAACCAGUAAGGCCUGGGCCCUAAAUCUGCCCUGUCCUGUCCGGCCCACCCAUAAUGGUGGAAGAGGGAGCUGAUCACGCCCCGGAGACCUCACUGGUCUCACAGGUAGAAAUUCUGUGGGAGGAAAUGUAAUAACCUCAGAUAUUGCAUAUAUCUAAGAGUUGAAGAACAUGGGAGAUGGUGAUAUUAUUGGAAUGUUGUAAUCUGAUUAAUUGCAUUAGAAGUCGACAUUUAAAAAGACGUCAUCUGAGGAACAGUUCAUGGAAGAUUUCAGGACUGUUUUAGCCGUUUGCGUGGAAUGCCAAACUGUGGACACUGUGCAGAUGCUAGUGCUCGGAAGG